AAGGCUUUCGUCUAUCGGUCAGGACGCACCGAAUUUCGGUGAAAGCCGGGUUCAACUCCCGGAAGCCUACUA
rnacentral:tRNA from 1 species